rnacentral:rRNA from 1 species
GAUGAACGCUGGCGGCGUGCCUAAUACAUGCAAGUCGUGCGAACAGAUGUGGUUCUAGCGCCUCUGACGGUAGCGGCGGACAGGAGCGUGUCACGUGGAUAACCUACCGUUAGGACUGACAGAACUUCAGGAAACCUAAGCUAAUACCGAGUCAUAUAGUGAACUGCAUGGUUCAAUAGUGAGAGAUGCUUUUGCUGACACUUAUAUAUUGUUCCGCGCUUCGUUAGCUAGUUGGUAAGGUAACGGCUGACCAAGGCAACGAUGAGUAGCCGCCCUGAGCGGGAGAGCGGCCCCACUGGAACUGAGACACGGUCAAGACUCCUACGGGAGGCAGCCGUAGCGACUAUUCCGGGAAGGGCGAAAGCAUGACGGAGCAACGCCGCGUGAGUGAUGAAGGUAUUCGGAUCGUAAAACUCUGUUAUUAGGGAAGAAAAAAUGUGUAAGUAACUAUGAAAGACAUGACGGUACCUAAUCAGAAAGCGACGGCUAACUACGUG